UAGGGAAUCUUCCACAAUGGGCGAAAGCCUGAUGGAGCAACGCCGCGUGUGUGAUGAAGGGUUUCGGCUCGUAAAACACUGUUGUAAGAGAAGAAUGACAUUGAGAGUAACUCGUUCAAUGUGUGACGGUAUCUUACCAGAAAGGAACGGCUAAAUACGUGUCAG
rnacentral:rRNA from 1 species